AGAAUCUCCAUGUAGUAGCCAUUAAAGUCACCAGGGUAUCUGCCGUUUUAUAUUCUGCAGCCAUCGGCCAUAAAAAGGAAACUUUUAGCACAUUUUGCAGCAAUCAAGGUGAAGUUCAGCGCUCAACUAUUUACCACAAAUACUAAAGUGUCUUGGUGCUUAAAUCAGAGACGCUGGAAACCUGAUGCAGAGUAAAUCAGCACCAACUAAUGAGGGAAAUUGCUGCAAUAUAAUGUAGCCAUGAAAACAAAGAGAUGCCUAACAGUUACAAGAAAGGCUAUGCCAAAUCUAGACAAAAUAUUAACACACAAACACAGGGGAUUGAGCAGGGGGUUGACUAAAAGACCUCCAAGGUCCCUUACAGCAUUAUUCUAUUUUAUUCUAUU